rnacentral:rRNA from 1 species
CCUACGGGUGGCAGCAGUGAGGAAUAUUGGUCAAUGGCCGGAAGGCUGAACCAGCCAAGCCGCGUGAAGGACGAAGGUGCCAAGCAUUGUAAACUUCUUUUGUCAAGGGACAAAAUCAGGCUCGAGAGCCUGACCGAGGGUACUUGAACAAAAAGCCCCGGCUAACUACUUGCCAGCAGCCGCGGUAAUACGCAGGGGGCAAGCGUUAUCCGGAUUUUCUGGGUGUAAAGGGAGCGUAGACGGUUAUGCAAGUCUGAAGUGAAAGCCCAAGGCUCAACCAUGGGACUGCUGUGGAAACGGUAAGACUGGAGUGCAGGAAGGGUUAGCGGAAUUCCUGGUGUAGCGGUGAAAGGCGUAGAUAUUAGGAGGAACACCAGUGGCGAAGGCGGGUUACUGGACUGUAACUGACGUUGAGGCUCGAAGGCGUGGGGAGCAAACAGGAUUAGAUACCCUUGUAGUC